UACGAAGGGGGCUAGCGUUGCUCGGAAUCACUGGGCGUAAAGGGUGCGUAGGCGGGUCUUUAAGUCAGGGGUGAAAUCCUGGAGCUCAACUCCAGAACUGCCUUUGAUACUGAAGAUCUUGAGUUCGGGAGAGGUGAGUGGAACUGCGAGUGUAGAGGUGAAAUUCGUAGAUAUUCGCAAGAACACCAGUGGCGAAGGCGGCUCACUGGCCCGAUACUGACGCUGAGGCACGAAAGCGUGGGGAGCAAACGG
rnacentral:rRNA from 1 species